rnacentral:rRNA from 1 species
CCUACGGGAGGCAGCAGUGAGGAAUAUUGGUCAAUGGGCGAGAGCCUGAACCAGCCAAGUCGCGUGAGGGAGUACUGCCCUAUGGGUUGUAAACCUCUUUUGUCGGGGAGCAAAAGCCGGACGUGUCCGGCUGUGAGAGUACCCGAAUAAAAAGCAUCGGCUAACUCCGUGCCAGCAGCCGCGGUAAUACGGAGGAUGCGAGCGUUAUCCGGAUUUAUUGGGUUUAAAGGGUGCGCAGGCGGAUUUUUAAGUCAGCGGUAAAAUCGUGGGGCUCAACCCCAUCCAGCCGUUGAAACUGGGGAUCUAGAGUGUGCGAGAGGUAUGCGGAAUGCGUGGUGUAGCGGUGAAAUGCAUAGAUAUCACGCAGAACCCCGAUUGCGAAGGCAGCAUACCGGUGCACAACUGACGCUCAGGCACGAAAGCGUGGGUAUCGAACAGGAUUAGAUACCCGGGUAGUC